GUACAAUUUGCUGGUCUCUCAUCCAAAGUUAGGCCAAAAACUUGAAUUCUAGAGCUCCAGUCCCCUACCGAUAGAAAUCAAGAGUUUCCGAUUUAUUUGGCCAUUUUUCCUGCUCAUCACGGCUAAAACUUUACCAAACCCUAAUUCUCUUCUCAUCCCUUCCCUAUCCUCUCUUGCCUCCUAAUACUGAAAAUUGUCGAAAACCCUACUGAAACUAUCGAGAAAAUGGUCAAAAAACGGCGAGAUUAUGUAUACUCCCAGGGCAUCUAUUAGUCAAGGUGGUUACUUGAUCACGUAUUGUGUUUUCUGUAUGUAAAACGGAAUGGCAGAUUCUGAAGCAUAACAAAAAUAAUGUAUCAAAAUAGGCAAGAUAUCUUGCCAGUGCUGCUGCUAAUGGUGGACUAUAGUGGAAAACAUGCCAGAAGUACAAGAAUGUAUUGAUCCGGAUUAAAUGGGGUCGAAUGCCCUCAAUUCUCACUAUGGUUACAAUGAGUUACUGAUUCUUGGUCCAUAAAUAAGGUUGUUCUCUAAUUUGUUGAAUUUGUGGUCGUUGUUGCGUUUUUUUUAUGUGCAUAAAAUGGAUAUCAAUCUACGGUUUAGGAAGAACAGAGAGACUCACCUAAGUACUUCGCAUCUACGGGAAGAAGAUGUCACCAACAUUAGAUGAACAUUGAUAAUUCACCUAAGGAUCUGUUUUAGUAAAACUUGACGAGGUUCACUGGGUUUGUGUAGCAUGGCGAGACAGAUGCAGGAAAAUAUUGGGAUUAUCCUUUAAAAGGAUUUUAGUAGAGCGUUAGUAAACUCUUGAGUUAGUAAAGUUGCAGUUUCAGAAUCAACAAAAUAGGUUCUUUCAUCUCAUAUUUUAUCUCAAGGUAACAUGGCCAGCUGGAAUCUACACAUUAGAAGAUGGAGUGAUGAACCCUCUCUGCUUAAGGUUCCUUCUACACUAAUUUAUUAUAUUCAGCCUUAACUUCGCACAAGGGGAAUCUGGAACAAUAAGGUACCUAAUAAGAUCAGUUUCUUAUUAGGUAGUGAUGAAAGGCCGUUGUUGGUUCAAGUCUUGAAGAUAGUGAUGACGGAAUGUCGCUGUUGGUUGAGGAUAGUGAUGAAGAUGAAUAAAGAUCAAAAAGACAUAUAUUGGACACCAUAGCUGUGCUUCUAAACUUCCAAAAACUGAUACAGGUUAUUCAGAAAAUCACUAACAAUUGCGUCAAGCAACAUAUUCAGUUAAGAGGAACACAAGUUGGUAUUGUAAAAUAAUCAUAUCACGUUAGUCGCAAUGCCAAGCACCAAAAUGUUAUAUCUCAGAUGUUUUAGUCCUUCUCUA